rnacentral:misc_RNA from 1 species
UCAUCAGUCUCCAUAUUUUGCUGGUCUACAAAAUGGGCUCGCGCACUUCACGCACGCACUCCAGUGACGGCAUCGAUCCAGUUGGUGCGCCUGCGAACGCCGCGCCCCUGCUCUGCUGCUCAACGGCGUCUGACGUGGCAGGCAAGCGCCGUGAGCAGGAUGAACUUACGGACCUACGGAGAUUAACGCAGCGCAGUCGACAUCGAGCAGACGAAAAGAAUCGAUUGCCAUCUCCGCACGCUACCAGGCGUGUUCAACAAAGCCGUGGCAAGCCCUACAGCGAUGCACGUAAGCGCCAGCUAACCCGAUGCGAAGCUGCGAGGGAAUGCCAGUGUGACCAUGCCGUAGCGGCACUGCACCAGUCAGGCUUGAGGCAACCCCGAAAAGAUGCCUCCGAAGUCUCGGUACUUUCUGUGCACACGGUGACGCACCAGCCCAUCCGUCUGGAUCAUAAACAAAGAUCGAGGCCAGGCACAAGGGCACAGCGGCCCCGCCAGUGUUGGACCGACAGCCCUUACACGGGCCAGGGCAGCGGCUGUACUCCACGCGCCUCCACUGGCUACUUUCCGCUCCUAGCCAUCGACGUUCCACACGCUUCACAUGACAGUGGCGGCGGGGACGGAUUCUCCAUCGUGUAGCCCGCAACGGGUCACAGCCAAACCGGCUUCCUACCCGCGCCGCUCGUUGGCGCCGCGGUCACACCUCUUACAACAUGCGGCACGGCCGAGUCUCCCGUGAGUCAAGCUUUUGUGUGUUUUGGCCCGCCCCAGUGUGCGGCCAUCUCGCUGCCUAAGCCGCCUUGAUCAUCUUCAGGUUUUUAAACCCUCGCCAGCAAAGCUUAGGCCGCAGGGCUGUUUUGCCCGUGCGCCGCCGUUUCCCAGCUUGCCGCGCUGCCCCGUCACGCCUACAAAAGAAAAACGAAACUGAGCGCCAGCGUGCGCACGCGCAUCGGCCCUCUCCUCGGCUAUCGAGUGAUUGGCUGGGCCGCCUGAUUUUCCAAGCGGGGUGCUCGCCGCCGCUGGCAUCGAAAUCCAACCGGCCGAGACCCCCCCCGAAAAGCGCACCCCCUUUUAUCCCCAAGGACAGCUUUCCCGGCGCUCCCAACCCCCAGCCCUCACGCAGUCGAAAACCCCCCCUCCCCCGCCGCCACCGGCGGGCCCGCCAACCCCCCCCUCCGCGGGACGCCUAGGGGGGCCCCGCGCCAGAAGGGGUGGGCCACCCGCAGCAACACCUUCCAGCGGGGGCACGGGGGACACGCCGCACCCUUUUUUGCACCGCCGCCCACGCGAUGACAGCCGGGGCUUUUUUUCGCCGCGGACCAAACCCACAGCAAAAGACAGGUAUUCACGCCAGAGAGCACCCUUGCCCGUUGCAAAACUCACACUCAAGAACAAAAGCGACGCUUAUUGUCGCGGAAAGCAGCCUUUUCUACCUGCCGGCCUGAUUCUUUGACCGCCAGCUUCAUUGGAUGCCGGUCAGUCAUCACCACAUGUCCGCUCCGCCGAUUUCCCGCCAUACGGGUACGCACGUUACCACGAGGCCUAACGCUACUCUGUGUGCAACCUCAGCUGGAAACAUUUGUCUCGCAGCUCUGUUUCUUUUCUUUUUAGAACUAGGGUGUCAGUCCUUGUGCCUACAUCUGAUCUCGUAUAAGUGACUGCCGUCACGCCAUCAGCGAAUAUUAUUCUCGCCCUUGGACAAACUACGAGUCAAUUAGUCACCCUGCUUGUGGCCGCUUGUCGCAGCCAAGUGCACUCUCCUCUAGACUACAGUACGAGCCUUCUACAGUCACUCGAUGAUCAAAAAGACAUGCCAUGUAAGUGGUGAUGCUUGCAUUUCUUUCUGCCAUGUCAGUGAAAGCGGCUCCUUUACAACACGAACUGUCACAAAAACUCUUCGAUAAGUCAGUCCCUUUCGCAUAAUUCUUAGAGAUGUCCUCCCCGAUGAGGGACAGCACCUCACCGCGUGGUAUCAUAAGGGCUAGUAGCAGCUUUCUAGGGGAAGCCGAGCAGCCUCCUCCCCCCUCCCUCCCUAUCCCAGCCACUGCCGAACCACCCCUGGUGGUGACAGGGCCAGGGUGCCUAGGACGUGGGGAGGUCAGUGCGAUGCAGUGGCACGGAUGCCGGCGGCCAAUCCCUGGACGGCGUGGCGCCGGUGCGACCCGCGACCGUGAGCGUGCUUGCGCCAUCCAUGCGAUGGGCAAGGCGUCAGCGUGAUACCAACGCGUCUCGCUCGGCCCUCGCACUGCCUGCUGCUGGGGAGGCUGAGUGCCACCCUGCGAGGCGGGUGGGUGGGUAGAGUUUGGGUCAGGGGCCGUGCACAGAUGACUGUGUCGGCGCACUGCUGUGAUGCGUGUCUGCGGCUGCGUUGCACCGCGCGCUGGGUGCCUGUGGCAGACCCGGAAGAGUGGAGCUUAGCGCAUGUUGUAUGGCAUAGAAUAUAGACGUUGAGCAAGGAACGCGCAAAGAGACAUCUUCGUUUCUUUUUUUAGUGUGUCGCGCGACCUCCGGCGCCUCUGAUGGGUCAGCAUCAUGCUUUUAGCUGUUUUGGUUUCCAAGGUGUACUGUGUUCGCAGUUUCUUUUGUUUUUCACGCCCAUAAUCUCACGUGUUAUAUUGUCUUUGAGGCCUUUUGGUUUUUGGUCUUUGACUAUAGCAAGCUUUCCGCUUGUGCUGUAGGUUUUUUCAAGGUGUGCCCUUGAACUUCAGUGGCAUCAAGGCAGGGAGGAGUUUCAGGGGACAUGAAGGAGAAAAAGAUGAGGAUUUGCGAAGCAGGGAGGAAAGUGUAAGCACUACAAUCAGUCUUCCAUCUCCGAAGCCGUGCUUCGGAGAGCUGCACAGCCAAAAUUACUACUUUUUCCCUGUAGCCGUCGCGCUUCCUCGGAUGCUCCCUGCAUACUUAUUGCACGAAACUGUUUUUUUUUUUACCUCUGUUGCUCGAGUGCCUGUGCGAGUAUAGAUGCCCUAACCCGAAGUGCCUCAGCUUCGAUAACCGCAUUUGGUUUCUGAAUAUCUCUGCUAAUGCACAGGCUGAUCUUUUUCGACUCCGAUAUAUAUAUAUAUAUAUAUAUAUAUAUAUAUAUAUAUUAGUAGAAAUGGUCGCUGUGUGGCGAUAAAGGCCGUUAGCCGGCCGUUACUGAUUUUUUUCAAAGUGACUUUUGCUUGUGAGACGUUCAAGACAUCCUUUUUCACAUCCUCCGUCAGUUUUAUUGCCUUUGUGGAAUGCGUACGUGAGCUCUUCAUCAUGAGCCAACGUGUUUGCGCCUUCCUUCGUCACUUCUUUCAGCUUUUUCUUCGCUUCUUUUUUUUUUGCUAGCGAUUGGCUGCGCGUGGCAGAACAGUGAAAGUUCGUUGUAGCAGCUUUGUUGUUCAGCAGAAGGGCGGAGGCCGACAGUGCAUCCAGCGUCAAGAAGCUCCUUGUUUAUUUUUUUUCCGUAUUCAACAAGAAAGACUGAUUCAUCCACUUUUUUUCUUCCGCCCCACCAUAGAGGAAGCAGAGAAAGGCCACCGAAAUGCGUUGACUCCUGCGACAGCUGUUUGGUGUGCUGAAACGAGCCUCUGGAAUUCAUUGAUUAACAAGUCUUGUUUUCCUGUUUUAGAAAACGCGGUAAAAGGCGGCUGCUGCGAACCUUUCUCUUUUGCGCCAUACCUUGUGGGGAAAAUGUAGCCACUAGAGUCGUGUGCGCGCAGACAAGCGGAAUCCAGUUGCGGGGCCUAACUGAUUUUUUUUUUGCGCGCUUCAAACGCCACCCAUUCAGCAAACUGCAUUACAUCUCCCGUUCAUUUCGAGCCUCUACGCUCUCGGUAUCAGCUCCGCGUCGUCGU